UAGUGGCGAACGGGUGAGUAACACGUGGGCAAUCUGCCCUGCACUCUGGGACAAGCCCUGGAAACGGGGUCUAAUACCGGAUACAACCACCGGCCGCAUGGUCUGGUGGUGGAAAGCUCCGGCGGUGCAGGAUGAGCCCGCGGCCUAUCAGCUUGUUGGUGAGGUAGAAGCUCACCAAGGCGACGACGGGUAGCCGGCCUGAGAGGGCGACCGGCCACACUGGGACUGAGACACGGCCCAGACUCCUACGGGAGGCAGCAGUGGGGAAUAUUGCACAAUGGGCGAAAGCCUGAUGCAGCGACGCCGCGUGAGGGAUGACGGCCUUCGGGUUGUAAACCUCUUUCAGCAGGGAAGAAGCGAAAGUGACGGUACCUGCAGAAGAAGCGCCGGCUAACUACGUGCCAGCAGCCGCGGUAAUACGUAGGGCGCAAGCGUUGUCCGGAAUUAUUGGGCGUAAAGAGCUCGUAGGCGGCUUGUCACGUCGGUUGUGAAAGCCCGGGGCUUAACCCCGGGUCUGCAGUCGAUACGGGCAGGCUAGAGUUCGGUAGGGGAGAUCGGAAUUCCUGGUGUAGCGGUGAAAUGCGCAGAUAUCAGGAGGAACACCGGUGGCGAAGGCGGAUCUCUGGGCCGAUACUGACGCUGAGGAGCGAAAGCGUGGGGAGCGAACAGGAUUAGAUACCCUGGUAGUCCACGCCGUAAACGGUGGGCACUAGGUGUGGG
rnacentral:rRNA from 1 species